rnacentral:rRNA from 1 species
AUUGAACGCUGGCGGCAUGCCUUACACAUGCAAGUCGAACGGCAGCAUGGAAGAGCUUGCUCUUCUGAUGGCGAGUGGCGAACGGGUGAGUAAAGCAUCGGAACGUACCGUGUAGUGGGGGAUAACGUAGCGAAAGUUACGCUAAUACCGCAUACGCACUGAGGUGGAAAGCAGGGGAUCGCAAGACCUUGCGCUAUACGAGCGGCCGAUGUCAGAUUAGCUAGUUGGUAGGGUAAAGGCCUACCAAGGCGACGAUCUGUAGCGGGUCUGAGAGGAUGAGCCACCACACUGGGACUGAGACACGGCCCAGACUCCUACGGGAGGCAGCAGUGGGGAAUUUUGGACAAUGGGCGAAAGCCUGAUCCAGCCAUGCCGCGUGAGUGAAGAAGGCCUUCGGGUUGUAAAGCUCUUUCGGCUGGGAAGAAAUCGCACAGGCUAAUACUCUGUGUGGAUGACGGUACCAGCACAAGAAGCACCGGCUAACUACGUGCCAGCCGCCGCGGUAA